GGUAAAUUUUCCAGGUGUAGGUGU
rnacentral:siRNA from 1 species